rnacentral:rRNA from 1 species
CAGCAGCCACGGGAAUACGAGGGGGGCAAGCGUUGUUCGGAAUUAUUGGGCGUAAAGGGUGCGUAGGCGGUUUGGCAAGUCUUGUGUGAAAUCUUCGGGCUCAACCCGAAGCCUGCACGAGAAACUGCCGGGCUUGAGUAUUGGAGAGGUGAGUGGAAUUUCCGGUGUAGCGGUGAAAUGCGUAGAUAUCGGAAGGAACACCUGUGGCGAAAGCGGCUCACUGGACAAUAACUGACGCUGAUGCACGAAAGCUAGGGGAGCAAACAGGAUUAGAUACCCGCGUAGUCCCUGUCUCUUAUAA